rnacentral:tRNA from 1 species
GCCCCUAUCAUCUAGUGGUUCAGGACAUCUCUCUUUCAAGGAGGCAGCGGGGAUUCGACUUCCCCUAAGGGUA